rnacentral:rRNA from 1 species
UACGUAGGGUGCGAGCGUUAGUCGGAAUUACUGGGCGUAAAGCGUGCGCAGGCGGUUUUGUAAGCCAGAUGUGAAAUCCCCGAGCUUAACUUGGGAACUGCAUUUGGGACUGCAAGGCUAGAGUACGGCAGAGGGGGGUAGAAUUCCUGGUGUAGCAGUGAAAUGCGUAGAUAUCAGGAGGAAUACCGAUGGCGAAGGCAGCCCCCUGGGUCGAUACUGACGCUCAUGCACGAAAGCGUGGGGAGCAAACAGG